UACGUAGGGUGCGAGCGUUGUCCGGAAUUAUUGGGCGUAAAGCGAGCGCAGGCGGUUCCUUAAGUCUGAUGUGAAAGCCCACGGCUCAACCGUGGAAGGUCAUUGGAAACUGGGGAACUUGAGUGCAGAAGAGGAGAGUGGAAUUCCAUGUGUAGCGGUGAAAUGCGUAGAUAUUAGGAGGAACACCAGUGGCGAAGGCGACUUCCUGGACUGUAACUGACGCUGAGGCGCGAAAGCGUGGGUAGCAAACAGGAUUAGAUA
rnacentral:rRNA from 1 species